UACGGGGCGCACAGGCGCGAAAACUCCGCAAUGCACGAAAGUGUGACGGGGCUACCCCGAGUGCCGUCCGCUGAGGAUGGGUUUCCUUGGUGUAACUAGCCGGGGGAAUAAGGAGAGGGCAAGACUGGUUGUCAGCCGCCGCGGUAAUACCAGCUCUCCGAGAUGGUAGGGAUGAUUAUUGGGCGUUAAAGCGUCCGCUAGCCGGCUUAGCAAGUUUCCUGUUUAAUUAGCGACCUAAUCGUUGAGCCGCGGGAAAUACCUCUAGGCAUAGGAGGCGGGAGAGGUCGACGGUCUUCUGGGGUAGGGGUGAAAUCUAUAAUCCGGGAGGACCACCAGUGGCGAAGGCUGUCGGCAUAGAACGCGCUCGACGGUGAGGGACGAAAGCUGGGGGAGCGAACCGGAAUAAAAUCCCGGGUAG
rnacentral:rRNA from 1 species